rnacentral:misc_RNA from 1 species
AACCAUAGAAACCUGCGGAGUACCUGCGGAAGGAUCAUUAUUAGUUAUUCGCUUUAAUUAGCGGGUCUUUCUAAAAAGAUCACACCUUGCUCAAACGUCUCACGUCUUUGGUAGUUCAGUGCUAGUCUGGCCGAAGUGCCCAGUUCAGCGCGUCCUUCUGCCUCUAUUGGGGGCUUUAGGGGGCUACCGCCGGGUUAAGCCCGGAUUUUAUAACACUUAAGUCUAUAACCCAUGACUGAA